AUACAUACCUGACAGGGAGAUACCAUGAUCACGAAGGUGGUUUUCCCAGGGAGAGGCUUAUCCAUUGCACUCCGGAUGUGCUGACCCCUGCAAUUUCCCAAAAUGUGGGAAAUUCGACUGCAUAAUUUUUAAAAAAUAUAU
rnacentral:snRNA from 1 species